GGGUUGUGAGGUUAAGCGACUAAGCGUACACGGUGGAUGCCCUGGCAGUCAGAGGCGAUGAAGGACGUGCUAAUCUGCGAAAAGCGUCGGUAAGGUGAUAUGAACCGUUACAGCCGGCGAUGUCCGAAUGGGGAAACCCAGUGCAAUUCGUUGCACUAUCGUUAACUGAAUACAUAGGUUAACGAGGCGAACCGGGGGAACUGAAACAUCUAAGUACCCCGAGGAAAAGAAAUCAACCGAGAUUCCCCCAGUAGCGGCGAGCGAACGGGGAGCAGCCCAGAGUCUGAAUCAGCUUGUGUGUUAGUGGAACGGUCUGGAAAGUCCGACGGUACAGGGUGAUAGUCCCGUACACCAAAAUGCACAGGUUGUGAACUCGAAGAGUAGGGCGGGACACGUGGUAUCCUGUCUGAAUAUGGUGGGACCAUCCUCCAAGGCUAAAUACUCCUGACUGACCGAUAGUGAACCAGUACCGUGAGGGAAAGGCGAAAAGAACCCCGGCGAGGGGAGUGAAAAAGAACCUGAAACCGUGUACGUACAAGCAGUGGGAGCACCUUCGGGUGUGACUGCGUACCUUUUGUAUAAUGGGUCAGCGACUUAUAUUCUGUAGCAAGGUUAACCGUAUAGGGGAGCCGCAGGGAAACCGAGUCUUAACUGGGCGUUAAGUUGCAGGGUAUAGACCCGAAACCCGGUGAUCUAGCCAUGGGCAGGUUGAAGGUUGGGUAACACUAACUGGAGGACCGAACCGACUAAUGUUGAAAAAUUAGCGGAUGACUUGUGGCUGGGGGUGAAAGGCCAAUCAAACCGGGAGAUAGCUGGUUCUCCCCGAAAGCUAUUUAGGUAGCGCCUCGUGAACUCAUCUUCGGGGGUAGAGCACUGUUUCGGCUAGGGGGUCAUCCCGACUUACCAACCCGAUGCAAACUACGAAUACCGAAGAAUGUUAUCACGGGAGACACACGGCGGGUGCUAACGUCCGUCGUGAAGAGGGAAACAACCCAGACCGCCAGCUAAGGUCCCAAAGUCAUGGUUAAGUGGGAAACGAUGUGGGAAGGCACAGACAGCCAGGAUGUUGGCUUAGAAGCAGCCAUCAUUUAAAGAAAGCGUAAUAGCUCACUGGUCGAGUCGGCCUGCGCGGAAGAUGUAACGGGGCUAAACCAUGCACCGAAGCUGCGGCAGCGACACUAUGUGUUGUUGGGUAGGGGAGCGUUCUGUAAGCCUGCGAAGGUGUGCUGUGAGGCAUGCUGGAGGUAUCAGAAGUGCGAAUGCUGACAUAAGUAACGAUAAAGCGGGUGAAAAGCCCGCUCGCCGGAAGACCAAGGGUUCCUGUCCAACGUUAAUCGGGGCAGGGUGAGUCGACCCCUAAGGCGAGGCCGAAAGGCGUAGUCGAUGGGAAACAGGUUAAUAUUCCUGUACUUGGUGUUACUGCGAAGGGGGGACGGAGAAGGCUAUGUUAGCCGGGCGACGGUUGUCCCGGUUUAAGCAUGUAGGCUGGUUAUCCAGGCAAAUCCGGAUAAUCAAGGCUGAGGUGUGAUGACGAGGCACUACGGUGCUGAAGUAACAAAUGCCCUGCUUCCAGGAAAAGCCUCUAAGCAUCAGGUAACAUCAAAUCGUACCCCAAACCGACACAGGUGGUCAGGUAGAGAAUACCAAGGCGCUUGAGAGAACUCGGGUGAAGGAACUAGGCAAAAUGGUGCCGUAACUUCGGGAGAAGGCACGCUGGUGUGUAGGUGAAGUCCCUGCGGAUGGAGCUGAGACCAGUCGAAGAUACCAGCUGGCUGCAACUGUUUAUUAAAAACACAGCACUGUGCAAACACGAAAGUGGACGUAUACGGUGUGACGCCUGCCCGGUGCCGGAAGGUUAAUUGAUGGGGUUAUCCGUAAGGAGAAGCUCUUGAUCGAAGCCCCGGUAAACGGCGGCCGUAACUAUAACGGUCCUAAGGUAGCGAAAUUCCUUGUCGGGUAAGUUCCGACCUGCACGAAUGGCGUAAUGAUGGCCAGGCUGUCUCCACCCGAGACUCAGUGAAAUUGAACUCGCUGUGAAGAUGCAGUGUACCCGCGGCAAGACGGAAAGACCCCGUGAACCUUUACUAUAGCUUGACACUGAACAUUGAGCCUUGAUGUGUAGGAUAGGUGGGAGGCUUUGAAGCGUGGACGCCAGUCUGCGUGGAGCCAACCUUGAAAUACCACCCUUUAAUGUUUGAUGUUCUAACGUUGGCCCCUGACCGGGGUUGCGGACAGUGUCUGGUGGGUAGUUUGACUGGGGCGGUCUCCUCCCAAAGCGUAACGGAGGAGCACGAAGGUUAGCUAAUCCUGGUCGGACAUCAGGAGGUUAGUGCAAUGGCAUAAGCUAGCUUGACUGCGAGCGUGACGGCGCGAGCAGGUGCGAAAGCAGGUCAUAGUGAUCCGGUGGUUCUGAAUGGAAGGGCCAUCGCUCAACGGAUAAAAGGUACUCCGGGGAUAACAGGCUGAUACCGCCCAAGAGUUCAUAUCGACGGCGGUGUUUGGCACCUCGAUGUCGGCUCAUCACAUCCUGGGGCUGAAGUAGGUCCCAAGGGUAUGGCUGUUCGCCAUUUAAAGUGGUACGCGAGCUGGGUUUAGAACGUCGUGAGACAGUUCGGUCCCUAUCUGCCGUGGGCGCUGGAGAAUUGAGGGGGGCUGCUCCUAGUACGAGAGGACCGGAGUGGACGCAUCACUGGUGUUCGGGUUGUCAUGCCAAUGGCACUGCCCGGUAGCUAAAUGCGGAAGAGAUAAGUGCUGAAAGCAUCUAAGCACGAAACUUGCCCCGAGAUGAGUUCUCCCUGAGACUAUAAGUCUCCUGAAGGAACGUUAAAGACGAUGACGUUGAUAGGCCGGGUGUGUAAGCGCAGCGAUGCGUUGAGCUAACCGGUACUAAUGAACCGUGAGGCUUAACCUUACAACGCCGAAG
rnacentral:rRNA from 1 species